GAUGAACGCUAGCGGCAGGCUUAACACAUGCAAGUCGAGGGGUAUAAGUAGCUUGCUACUUAGAGACCGGCGGAUGGGUGAGUAACGCGUAUGCAAUCUGCCUUGUACAGGGGGAUAGCCCAGGGAAACUUGGAUUAAUAUCCCAUGGUAUUAUUGAGUGGCAUCAUUUGAUAAUUAAAGAUUUAUCGGUACAAGAUGAGCGUGCGUCCCAUUAGUUAGUUGGUGUGGUAACGGCACACCAAGGCAUCGAUGGGUAGGGGCCCUGAGAGGGGGAUCCCCCACACUGGUACUGAGACACGGACCAG
rnacentral:rRNA from 1 species